rnacentral:rRNA from 1 species
UACGGAGGUUCCAAGCGUUGUUCGGAAUUACUGGGCGUGAAGGGAGCGCAGGCGGGCAAGUCAGUCUGAAGUGAAAUCCCGGGGCUCAACCUCGGACUUGCUUCGGAUACUGCUUGUCUUGAGUUCGUGAUAGGAAGACGGAAUUCAGGGUGUAGCGGUGAAAUGCACAGAUAUCCUGAGGAACACCGGUGGCGAAAGCGGUCUUCUGGCGCGAAACUGACGCUGAGGCUCGAAAGCGUGGGUAGCAAACGGGGAUUAGAUACCCGCGUA